CAAGUAAUGUAAACAUUGCAGGAGUCAUUUCGUGUGUCACAUUAAGUACCUGAAACUUCAGUUGUGGGACUGACCAAGCAUCCAUGUCAGUCUCCACGCCGGGACCUGUAGGUUGUGGGACAGACCAAGCAUCCAUGUCAGUCUCCACGCCGGGACCUGUAGGUUGUGGGACAGACCAAGCAUCCAUGUCAGUCUCCACGCCGGGACCUGUAGGUUGUGGGACAGACCAAGCAUCCAUGUCAGUCUCCACGCCGGGACCUGUAGGUUGUGGGACAGACCAAGCAUCCAUGUCAGUCUCCACGCCGGGACCUGUAGGUUGUGGGACAGACCAAGCAUCCAUGUCAGUCUCCACGCCGGGACCUGUAGGUUGUGGGACGGACCAAGCAUCCAUGUCAGUCUCCACGCCGGGACCUGUAGGUUGUGGGACUGACCAAG